UAGAGGCAAGAAACCCUAAAUCCCAUCUCGCCGCCGUCUCAAGAUGGAGCGCAUCUCCUGCCAUGCCGACCUCCGAGCCCUGCAGGACCGCUCCGAUAGGCGCAUGUUUCUAAACCUCGUCUCUCUCGAGUCCGUGAGCAUAGCGAGCGACUCGUAUGCACUCCUCCGCAACCUGGUGGUUGAGCGGAGGAACUGGCGAUGCUCCGACAUGGAUAUGGAUUUCCUCUCGCUCGUGGCAAGCGUGGCGGCGGAGCUCCACAAGAUGAAGCUUGCUCUGUCUCCCCUCCUUGAUCGGGAGGCCAAGCCGGGAGAGGCCUUCCCGAAAGACCUCCUAUUACUCAAGAACUCGGCACUUGCACUCUUAAGUCUGUGGGAGGACGCUAAUGAAAUAGUCAAAAAAUGUCUUGGAUCGCUUGCUGAGCAGGAUGUUUUCUUAGGCCAUGCUGAAGCCGUGGGCGCAGUGCUAGAGGAUUCCGUUAGUCAGGUACUGAGAGGUCAGCGCAACUUUGCCUGGCUUCAGGGACGUGUCCCGACUUUCCUCAAAGAGGUCGACCUUCUGUUGUCGACUCGGGUUUGUUUCCCUUAUUCUGACUAGUAGACUAUCAGCUGUUUCUUGCCAGCUCGUCACUGUUGUGAUGAGUAUUUUUUAGGAAGCUCUCAAAUGUUUCUAUGUGUAUUUCUUGGAGUGGCAACACCCUUUAUGUUUGGAUGAUGUUGAUGGAUUUUGAAUCAUGUGUAUUAUUAUGGUGCUGUUUUCUCAUUCUGUGCUAGGGUAUAACUUGCAAUUACUUUCGGUUAGGAUGGAAUGCCAGCUCCACCACCAUUCUGUGCAACGGCAGCUCCACAGAUAUUACGGAAAAAUUAAUUCAUUACGAAAACAUGGAGGUAUUCUCUCUUUUGGGGAAUUAACUCUUAACAAAGAUGCACAGUUCCCUCAAAACUUUUACCACUGCUACGUCACCGAAAUUAAUUUCGGCUGCCGGAUCCUCCCAUGGAUGGCCGCGACAGCAUCUUGCUACUUUGCCGUGUCGAGUAUAUAACCGACUCCCUUGUUUCCGUAAAAAAAACUCAUCGCUUCCCAUCUCUUUCUCUCGGACUCGCCCGACGCUAGGCGACAAGGCCAACGGCGUGGGGUCGUCGGGCGGCAGCGCGGCGGCCGCCCUCGGGGCGUCGGCCGCUGUCCUUCUCCUUCUCCAUGCCCACUUGCGCCGCUAGCGCGAGCCAGCAGCAUCCCCCACCGGUUGCGCUUCCCAAAUCCCUGCACCAAUGACCGGCGAUCUGCUGUUGCACGGUGCUGCCGUCGUCAACCUAGGGUUAGGUCUCUCCGUCACCAGGCCAAGACCUAUCGCACCGGCACGGUUCGGCACGGAGGACGACCUCUCCCGGUGCGGGAUACCUCCAUCGCGAGCAGCCCCAGACCAAGCUCCAAUCACAACAUCAGGAGUAGCCACCUCUGCUCGCGGGGUUGCAGAUCUGGUUUUGAUGUUCUUCUACUGAAAAAAUGAGCGGGUGACCUGGUUGCCAUGGCCGAAUUUGGGAGAUGAGCACGAGCCAAAGGCAACAUGGUCUUAAAAGAUUGUAUAUGGACUCGGUCUUCACUCUUCAGUCUCCCCCGAUUUUUACAGCCCUCAGCUGAGUAGUUAGUUAAUGAUUCAUGUUUACCAAUGCAUCCCAUUCCCAUCUAAGGUAAGUCUUGACUAUUUUCCCUGAUUCAUUUUUUCCCUAACUUUUCUACUCUCUUUAUCCUAAAUUGUAAGUCAUUUUGCCUUUCCUAUAGGUACAUAGCUUUUGCUAUGCACCUAAUUGUAUCUGCAAAAGCCAAAAAGACUUACAAUUAGAAACAGUGCGAGUACUUCUUUUAUAGAAAGGUGGAACCUGAAGCUGAACCAGCCCCUGUGAUACCUCGUUAUCCAAAAUCAUACAUAGAGGUCAGUUAUCUAUCUAAAAUGUGAGUAAAAUGGCUGCAAGUGCCUUACACUGCUGCAGACUACUGCAUAUAUGAUAUCUGAAGAUGUCUGUGAAGUGUUCAUUUCGUUUAUAGCUCCAUCUCUAUGUAAUUAAAUUAACUUCAGAAACUAGAACUGUUCUUAACUGCCCAUUGAUGCUUGCUACACGAUUUUAGUAGUCCUGUUUAGCAUGAUGUUGGUUCUCAAUGAUUAACUUACCUGAAACAUAUAUUAAUGAUGGCACUGAUUGUUCACCAGGUGAACACAAGUGAACUCUGUUUUCGAACGGCCAGAGGGCAGCUUGGCCAUAGGCUGCCUAUUCCAUUGUAUAGGAAACAAACUUGGGAUACAGCUCUCAACCACUACAGCAAAGUCAAGAUGCAUAAAGAAGAUGCUACUUAUCUUUAGGCUUAGAAACGGCUGAAAACAACUUGACAGUAAACAGUAAAUAGCUAAUUAGUUCACUAGAUACAUAGAGCAGCACUAAGCUUAUCUUUCAUUGAUUGAUUAAAUUAAGUUUCAUUUUUAGAUCUAACCAAUGCAGGAUUCAAUUGCCGAUGAAGACUUUGAAUCUGGUGAUGGCACUGAGGAUGAUGAAAUCAGUCCGUCUCCAUUGCCUUAAGAACAUAAAGCUAAAAGGCAGGCUAAGCCACCCUACCAUUCCAGUCAAUAUAUUUCAUUACAGGUUUAUGUCGUACCUAAGCAAGCUAUAGAUUCUAUGAUGGGUCCAGCUUAUUGAAAACAAUAUUCAGGCCUAAAAAUGAUGAAUCCAGCUUCCAUGGAAAGAACAAGUAUGGAAAAUCUGCUUCAACAAAGAACGCAAAAUAGGUACCGUUUGUUAGUGAUGUUGUCUCAUUUUUGAGCAUUCAUAACAUCCUAUAUCUAUGUCUGCUCCGGCCUCUAUAUGUAUAUGCACCCCUCUCAAGAAUUUUGUUAUCUUUAUCUGUACGGGGGAAGCAUGAAACAUUUGGAGAAGACGAACAGGAGCCGCCGCCGAUGGAGAAUCCCAGCAGAACAGCGAUCUGCAAGAGAGAAUGAGCGGUCAAUUGUAAAAGAAAAGAACGUGUGGCCACGGUUGCCUCCUAGAGUGGCCACAAUAGCAAAAGAGAUAUUGGCCAUUGGAUGGCUCCCGGGCGGCCAGGAUCCGCGUUGACUGAGCGUCCGGCUGGAGCCGGCCAGGGGCCUGCUGACGCGUGGGGUUCUGGCUGCCUCGGGGCUGCCGCCCUGUCCCUCUGCGGGUGGACUCGUGUGUCCUGCUUGGGGUUCUUGGCCCUGUGUGACGGCGUCAGCGGCAAGAGCUCGGCGUGCGGAGCGGAUGGUGCCAACGAGCUGCGUGCGUAUGGGGUUGGAGCCCUGCCAUCGCCCCAUGCUAUCGUCACGUGAUUGGCCAACUCUUUUCAUUGUCGUUCCUCACUCUCUUUCAUCAUUCCUCGAAAGAGAGGAUAUUGUGUUUUUCCUGUAUCUUAUAGUCGCCAUAGAGUGAAAGAAAGCAAUGUUUAAAUGAAUCCCAAAGAAUGCCAGCUUUCUCAUUACGGUCCAGCGCAAUGGAACCAUCAUCCCUGGAAA